rfam:Rattus norvegicus chromosome 19, whole genome shotgun sequence.
GGAGAGGUGGCUCAGAGGUUAAGAGCACUGGGCUGCUCCUCCAGAGGUCCUGAGUUCAAUUCCCAGCAACCACA